UACGAAGGGGGCUAGCGUUGUUCGGAUUUACUGGGCGUAAAGCGCACGUAGGCGGAUACUUAAGUUAGGGGUGAAAUCCCAGGGCUCAACCCUGGAACUGCCUCUAAUACUGGGUAUCUCGAGUCCGAGAGAGGUGAGUGGAAUUCCGAGUGUAGAGGUGAAAUUCGUAGAUAUUCGGAGGAACACCAGUGGCGAAGGCGGCUCACUGGUCCGGUACUGACGCUGAGGUGCGAAAGCGUGGGGAGCAACAGG
rnacentral:rRNA from 1 species